CCUACGGGAGGCAGCAGUGAGGAAUAUUGGACAAUGGGCGCAAGCCUGAUCCAGCCAUGCCGCGUGCAGGAAGAAGCAUCUAUGGUGUGUAAACUGCUUUUGUACAGGAAGAAACACUCCCUCGUGAGGGAGCUUGACGGUACUGUAAGAAUAAGGACCGGCUAACUCCGUGCCAGCAGCCGCGGUAAUACGGGAGGGUCCGAGCGUUAUCCGGAAUCAUUGGGUUUAAAGGGUCCGUAGGCGGUUUAAUAAGUCAGUGGUGAAAUCUGGUCGCUCAACGAUCAAACGGCCAUUGAUACUGUUAGACUUGAAUUAUAAGGAAGUAACUAGAAUAUGUAGUGUAGCGGUGAAAUGCUUAGAUAUUACAUGGAAUACCAAUUGCGAAGGCAGGUUACUACUUAUGGAUUGACGCUGAUGGACGAAAGCGUGGGGAGCGAACAGGAUUAGAUACCCUGGUAGUCCACGCCGUAAACGAUGGAUACUAGCUAGUUCGGAGCAAUCUGAGUGGCUAAGCGAAAGUGAUAAGUAUCCCACCUGGGGAGUACGUUCGCAAAGAAUGAAAACUCGAAAAGGAAUUGACGG
rnacentral:rRNA from 1 species